rnacentral:rRNA from 1 species
UACGUAGGGGGCAAGCGUUGUCCGGAAUCAUUGGGCGUAAAGCGCGCGUAGGCGGCCCGGUAAGUCCGCUGUAAAAGUCCAGGGCUCAACCCUGGAACUGCCUUCAAAACUCCCAGUCUUGAGGUCGAGAGAGGUGAGUGGAAUUCCGAGUGUAGAGGUGAAAUUCGUAGAUAUUCGGAGGAACACCAGUGGCGAAGGCGGCUCACUGGCUCGAUACUGACGCUGAGGUGCGAAAGCGUGGGGAGCAAACAGG